rnacentral:tRNA from 1 species
GGGCGCUUAGCUCAGCUGGCUAGAGCAUCUCCCUUACAAGGAGGAGGUCGGGGGUUCGAGUCCCUCAGCGCCCACAA